AUGAACGCUAGCUACAGGCUUAACACAUGCAAGUCGAGGGGCAGCAUGGUCUUAGCUUGCUAAGGCCGAUGGCGACCGGCGCACGGGUGAGUAACACGUAUCCAACCUGCCGUCUACUCUUGGACAGCCUUCUGAAAGGAAGAUUAAUACAAGAUGGCAUCAUGAGUUCGCAUGUUCACAUGAUUAAAGGUAUUCCGGUAGACGAUGGGGAUGCGUUCCAUUAGAUAGUAGGCGGGGUAACGGCCCACCUAGUCUUCGAUGGAUAGGGGUUCUGAGAGGAAGGUCCCCCACAUUGGAACUGAGACACGGUCCAAACUCCUACGGGAGGCAGCAGUGAGGAAUAUUGGUCAAUGGGCGCAGGCCUGAACCAGCCAAGUAGCGUGAAGGAUGACUGCCCUAUGGGUUGUAAACUUCUUUUAUAAAGGAAUAAAGUCGGGUAUGUAUACCCGUUUGCAUGUACUUUAUGAAUAAGGAUCGGCUAACUCCGUGCCAGCAGCCGCGGUAAUACGGAGGAUCCGAGCGUUAUCCGGAUUUAUUGGGUUUAAAGGGAGCGUAGAUGGAUGUUUAAGUCAGUUGUGAAAGUUUGCGGCUCAACCGUAAAAUUGCAGUUGAUACUGGAUAUCUUGAGUGCAGUUGAGGCAGGCGGAAUUCGUGGUGUAGCGGUGAAAUGCUUAGAUAUCACGAAGAACUCCGAUUGCGAAGGCAGCCUGCUAAGCUGCAACUGACAUUGAGGCUCGAAAGUGUGGGUAUCAAACAGGAUUAGAUACCCUGGUAGUCCACACGGUAAACGAUGAAUACUCGCUGUUUGCGAUAUACUGCAAGCGGCCAAGCGAAAGCGUUAAGUAUUCCACCUGGGGAGUACGCCGGCAACGGUGAAACUCAAAGGAAUUGACGGGGGCCCGCACAAGCGGUGGAGUAUGUGGUUUAAUUCGACGCAACGCGAAGAACCUUACCAGGUCUUGACAUCCCGAUGACCGGCCCGUAACGGGGCCUUCUCUUCGGAGCAUUGGAGACAGGUGGUGCAUGGUUGUCGUCAGCUCGUGCCGUGAGGUGUCGGCUUAAGUGCCAUAACGAGCGCAACCCUUGUUGUCAGUUACUAACAGGUUCCGCUGAGGACUCUGACAAGACUGCCAUCGUAAGAUGUGAGGAAGGUGGGGAUGACGUCAAAUCAGCACGGCCCUUACGUCCGGGGCUACACACGUGUUACAAUGGGGGGUACAGAGGGCCGCUACCACGCGAGUGGAUGCCAAUCCCCAAAACCUCUCUCAGUUCGGACUGGAGUCUGCAACCCGACUCCACGAAGCUGGAUUCGCUAGUAAUCGCGCAUCAGCCACGGCGCGGUGAAUACGUUCCCGGGCCUUGUACACACCGCCCGUCAAGCCAUGGGAGCCGGGGGUACCUGAAGUGCGUAACCGCGAGGAGCGCCCUAGGGUAAAACUGGUGACUGGGGCU
rnacentral:rRNA from 1 species